rnacentral:rRNA from 1 species
ACGCACGCUGGCGGCGUGCCUAAUCCAUGCAAGUCGAACGAACCGCGACUAAGUGCUUGCACUAAGUCAAGGUGAGUGGCGAACGGGUGAGUAACACGUGGGUAACCUACCUCAUAGUGGGGGAUAACAGUCGGAAACGACUGCUAAUACCGCAUAGGACAUAGGAUCACAUGAUCCAGUGAGGAAAGGUGGCGCAAGCUAUCGCUAAGAGAUGGACCCGCGGUGCAUUAGCUAGUUGGUAGGGUAAAGGCCUACCAAGGCGAUGAUGCAUAGCCGACCUGAGAGGGUGAUCGGCCACAUUGGGACUGAGACACGGCCCAAACUCCUACGGGAGGCAGCAGUAGGGAAUCUUCCGCAAUGGACGCAAGUCUGACGGAGCAACGCCGCGUGAGUGAAGAAGGUCUUCGGAUCGUAAAGCUCUGUUGUUAGAGAAGAACAGCGCAUAGAGUAACUGCUAUGCGUGUGACGGUAUCUAACCAGAAAGCCACGGCUAACUACGUG